AAGUCGUAACAAGGUUUCCGUAGGUGAACCUGCGGAAGGAUCAUUAAAAGAGAACUUAAUUCUUUGAAGCCCUAAAAAAGCUGAAAAAGAAUUAAUUCCCAACCCUUGUCUAUACAAAAAACAAAUUUGUUGCUUCGGCGAAUUACACAGAAAAGAAAAGUAAUUAGCUUUAUUUCUCCUUUUCUGUUCGCCAGAAGAUAUCAAACUAAAACUCUUUGAAUAACUAAUUGUCUGAAUUAUUUGAAUAUUGGAUAAAACCAAUAAACAUAAAAUCAAAUUACAACUUUCAACAACGGAUCUCUUGGUUCUG
rnacentral:misc_RNA from 1 species